ACGCAUCAACAAGACUUGUGAAAGCACUACUGCACUAGCAUGCUAGAUGGCAGAUUUGUCACAAAACUACUUCGUUUGGUUACAUUACAUGAUUUUUUUUAUGUAGAAAACUAUUUCAUAAUUAUGGACUUGAUAGUAAAAAAGUUAAGUUGAGGAUAAAAAUUAUUUUAUAAUUAUAAUGGUGAUUUAAGUAGCCAUGUGAUGUUUAGAGAUAAACAACCAUUCUUUAUCUUAUGGAACACUCAACAUGUUACUUGUUGAUUAAAAGCAAGCGUCUUCUAUAUGCUUUUUUUUUUUAACUUGUGCGUCUGAUCUAUAUGUUCUUGAAGCUUCAAAUGCAGAACAUAUUAGCGUGAAUAUGUGAUGUGUGGAGGUGAAACCUUGAUGACCAAGUUACUACAACAAAUAUCAAGUGUGCUCAGACUUGACUCAAGUUCUAACUACGGAUGGUGUAUAUCAAAACGAGUUAUACAUGCUUUUGGGACCACUUCUGAUGGAAACGGCUGCACCGCCUUCUGAUGCUUGUACUGUUGUCUUUGUGUCUCCAUAAGACAGAAAGCACAUUUGAAUUGUUGUGGCAAACGUGAUUUGAUGAUGUAAGUCAGCAUUCAAGUUCAAAAGAAGCGUUUGCGUUAAGUCAUACACACAAGAUUCAAGACUUUUCAUAUAAAUAGAAUGUCUUGUUGUUUUGAGAGAGUACAAGAGAAAAAAGUAAUACAGAGACAGUGAGAAGAGAGAAAACUUGUAAAGGUCUAAAUUUUUGUUUUAAGUUUUCUCUAACUUUAGGAGUUGACAGAGUGAGUCUUGAGUGCUAGUGAAAGGCAUCGAGAUGGAUCACUUGUAGCUCCUCUUGUAAACACUAUCUGAAUCUAGUGGAUUCCGUAGCUACCCUCGUUAACGGGAGUGAACCGGAUAAAGUCUUAUACUAUAUUAAUGUAUUAGCAUGUGUCACAUUCAUGCAAGACUACAUAAAUUUUGGGGAUCUAGUAAUAACAGAAGGAAGAAGUGAAAUUCCGGUUUGAUUCUGAUUGUGAAAAAGCCAGGAAGAAAGCUCUAAAUUAUAUCUUUGAUUACAAAGGAGUUGAAUCUGUAACAUUAGAAAACAGUAUACUUACCGUGCAAGGAGAAGGACUAGAUGAGGAUGAAAUGAAGAGAAAGAUGGAUAAGAUUCUUCUUUCACCCAAAACGGGAUUUCUAUCAUGUUUUAUUCCUAAGAAAUAAUAUGAUGUUCGUAUUUUAAAAACAUUAAAUUUGAAUUAUAAUUAUACGAUU